rnacentral:ncRNA from 2 species
AAAAAACUUUUGGGGUGCCAGGAGGCUGAGAUUACACCCAUUGAACCUGAUGCGGAUAAUACCGACGCAGGAAAAAGUUUCUUAAAGCCU